CUAGCGACAGGCCUAACACAUGCAAGUCGAGGGGUAGCAUGAAGUAGCAAUACUUUGAUGACGACCGGCGCACGGGUGAGUAACACGUAUGCAACCUACCUUCUACAGGGGAAUAGCCCGGAGAAAUCCGGAUUAAUACCCCAUAACGCAGGGAUACCGCCUGGUAAUAUUUGCUAAAGAUUAAUCGGUAGAAGAUGGGCAUGCGUUCCAUUAGCCAGUUGGUGAGGUAACGGCUCACCAAAGCAACGAUGGAUAGGGGAACUGAGAGGUUUAUCCCCCACACUGGAACUGAGACACCGGGGGGCCUACGGGAGGCAGCAGUGAGGAAUAUUGGUCCAUGGGCGCAAGUUUGAACCCGGCAAGUUGCGUGAAGGAAGACUGCCCUUCGGGUUGUAAACUUUUUUUGUACAGGGGUAAAACGUGGGACGUGUCCCAUAUUGCAAGUUCUGUAAGAAUAAGCCUCGGCUAAAUUCGUGCCCGCACGCCGCGGUUAUUCGGGGGGUGCAAGCGUUAUCCGGAUUUUUUGGGUUUAAAGGGUGCGUAGGCGGGAUUAUAAGUCAGCGGUGAAAGUUUGAGGCUCAACCUUAAAAUUGCCGUUGAAACUGUUUUUCUUGAGUAUAUUUGAAGUUGGCGGAAUUCGUGGUGUAGCGGUGAAAUGCAUAGAUAUCACGGAGAACCCCAAUUGCGAAGGCAGCUUACUAAACUAUAACUGACGGUGAGGCAAGAAAGCGUGGGUAUCAAACAGGAUUAGAUACCCUGGUAGUCCACGCCGUAAACGAUGAUUACUAGGUGUUUGUGGAUAAUACAAUAAGUGGCCUAAGCGAAAGCGAUAAGUAUCCCACCUGGGAAU
rnacentral:rRNA from 1 species